rnacentral:rRNA from 1 species
UACGUAGGGUGCAAGCGUUAAUCGGAAUUACUGGGCGUAAAGCGUGCGCAGGCGGUUGUGCAAGACAGAUGUGAAAUCCCCGGGCUCAACCUGGGAAUUGCAUUUGUGACUGCACGGCUAGAGUGUGUCAGAGGGGGGUAGAAUUCCACGUGUAGCAGUGAAAUGCGUAGAGAUGUGGAGGAAUACCGAUGGCGAAGGCAGCCCCCUGGGAUGAUACUGACGCUCAUACACGAAAGCGUGGGGAGCAAACAGG